UAGAGCAUUGGCCGUCUGCUCAAGUGCAAUUUUCUUUAGUAGGCAAUGGUUUGAUGAACAUGGCGUUCUAACAGUUAAAAUAUGAUUCUUGAAAUUGGUUGGGGAGACAAGCAGAAGUAAAAUCAUGUUGGCUAGGCUGCUACAAGCAUACAAUUAGCAUGGAGGAGACAUCAUCAUUUCCUUGUCAAACAGAGAUGUGGCUUUUUUGUGUUUCAGCUAGAGCAAGCACAAAAUUCAGUGGCUAGACUCAUAUGAAAGUAAGCCAAAGAACAGGAAGUCAACAAGAGAAGGGUAGAAGUAGAGAAGCUCAAACUGUCUGGCGAACUCUAGUGCAAUGGUGAUGGACCUUUUAGCAUAGAGGGCAUCAUCUUUCAGACGAUUGCGAAGCAAUCAUAAGCAAUGCAUUGAAUCGAAGUCUUCACAGAGAAAUCAAGCAAGCAAUCAGAAACUCAGGUCAUCAUAUUCAUAAAAGUACUGAUCAACUUGAAGAUUGUCUGCACUUGGAUGACAAUGCAAUCCUGUGCCUGCUUUGCAUGUGUACUACCUGUGUCCAAAAAGGCUAGCAGUGCACCCGCAGAACACCAAGAAGAGGCGGCAGAGGGAUCCUUGGAAAGUUGCAGAGGUUCAAGAGCCAGCAACCUCCAUGAGCAGAAGCCUGGAGCAACAGCCCCACUUGCUGCAUGUGGUCAUAUGGCAGCAGGUCUGCAGCAGCAAGUUGAGAGCAGCCAGAAUCUUUUAAGCCUGUGCAGCGGAAAGAAACAGGUUUCUUUAUUACUCUCUGACUUGAACCCAUAACACUUGUUCAUGGCUCUCGGACAAGGCUGUUCCCAAUCAUGAGAAGCUCUGU